UCCGUCCUACGGGACGCAGCAGUGGGGAAUAUUGCGCAAUGGGGGAAACCCUGACGCAGCAACGCCGCGUGCGGGAUGAAGGCUUUCGGGUUGUAAACCGCUUUCAGCAGGGAAGAUAAUGACGGUACCUGCAGAAGAAGCCCCGGCUAACUACGUGCCAGCAGCCGCGGUAAUACGGAGGAUGCGAGCGUUAUCCGGAUUUAUUGGGUUUAAAGGGUGCGCAGGCGGUCUGUUAAGUCAGCGGUCAAAGCCCGGGGCUCAACCCCGGCCCGCCGUUGAAACUGGCAGUC
rnacentral:rRNA from 1 species